rnacentral:rRNA from 1 species
AUGAACGCUAGCUACAGGCUUAACACAUGCAAGUCGAGGGGCAGCACGGAGAUAGCUUGCUUCCGAUAGGCGUCGACCGGCGCACGGGUGAGUAACGCGUAUCCAACCUGCCCACCACUUGGGAUAACCUUGCGAAAGUAAGACUAAUACCCAAUGACGUCUCUAGAAGACAUCUGAAAGAGAUUAAAGAUUUAUCGGUGAUGGAUGGGGAUGCGUCUGAUUAGCUUGUUGGCGGGGUAACGGCCCACCAAGGCGACGAUACAUAGGGGGACUGAGAGGUUAACCCCCCACAUUGGUACUGAGACACGGACCAAACUCCUACGGGAGGCAGCAGUGAGGAAUAUUGGUCAAUGGACGCAAGUCUGAACCAGCCAUGCCGCGUGCAGGAUGACGGCUCUAUGAGUUGUAAACUGCUUUUGUAUGAGGGUAAAAUUAGAUACGUGUAUCUAACUGAAAGUAUCAUACGAAUAAGGAUCGGCUAACUACGUG